AAAGAGAAAAAGAAAAGAAGAAGAAUAAAAAGUUAGCAGAGAAGGAAAAGAAAAAGCUGGAAAACAUCUUCUUCAACUUUUUUUCCUCUCUUUCCCGUGAACCCAAUAGAAGACCCAUUCCUCCAUUUUUUUUUUCACACCAAAAUUUCUUCAAAAUUCCAUCUCCAAUCAACUAUCCAUCUUCUCCCAACACCUUUUCAAAGAAGAAUUUGAAGAAAAGAAGAGAAAUCAAAGAGAAAAUUCAAGGUUGAGGGAGAAUGAACAGUAACAAAGGGUUUGGAAAUUUAAAGGUAUGUUGGGGGUUUUGAUAUAGGGAUGUUUCUUAUUAUUUUUAUGUGAAUAUUUAUGAGAAAUAUUGUAUUAAUUUGAUUUAUUGGUUUAUUUUUCAUGAAGAAGAAGUGGAAGGGAAGAGUGAAAAUUCUAAAGGAAAAGGAAAGGAAAAGGAAAAGAAAAGGAAGAUUAAGAAAUUUUAAACUUUUUUGGAAGGUUAAGGUUUGUGCUCAACUCCAUUUGAAUAAAUUCAAGAAUUUGUUAAUUAGGUUUUAUUUGAAAUCUUUACUGCCUUAGUAGAACUAGAUCAAGUGAAUAAUAUUUUUGUUAUAUGCCAUGAUUAAAGUUUGAAGAAUUGAUAAAUUUGAUAAAUAGAAAAUUUUGAAAUUAAUAUGUAAUUUGAGCAAAAAUUGAAGUUAUGGACCAGUGAAAUGUCUCUGCUUCCUUUGAUAGGGAUGUAAUUUGGCUAAGAUAUAGUAAUAAUAAUAAUAAAAAAAAUUAAUUAUUAGCCUAAAUAAGGAAUUUUAUAUUAAAUGUUGUAAAUUAGUUAAAUUAGGAUUGAAAAAAAAUUAUUGGAUAAAAAUAAAAAUUAAAAGAAAAAGAGAAAUGAGAUAUGGUGUAUCUGAUAAAUAGAAAAAGAUAUUAGAUUAGAAAAAAUAAUAAUAAUAAUAAUAAUAAUAAUAAAGAUAAUAAUAGUUAAUUUAUUAAGGAUUAAAUGAUGAAUUUAUAAUUUAUGUAGUUUAAUUAAAUUAAUAGAUUUACAUGAUAUGACAAUAUUUAAAGGCAGAGUUGUAAUAUGAUAAAGUAUUAUAGUUUGAAAAAUUGAAAGUUAUACUAUAUUGAAAUUUUUUCCUCAUGUUUAAAUGUAUAAAUUAUUUGAAGUCUGCCCCUAGUAAGUUUGGUGGGAAUUGUGAGUUAGUUUAAGGGUGUGGCAUGCCAUAUAUAGAUCUUGCAGUACUGCACUACAGUUUCACUGAUUCUUGGGAUACAAUGAGGUAUCCUACAGUUAUAGAAUCGGCUUUUGAGCCAUACAGUUAUUUGGCACUUUGUGCCAUACAGUUAUUUGGCACUUUGUGCCCUACAGUUACAGUUUCCUUAUCUUAUCUAACUUAACAGUCAUAUUUAAAUUUAUAGGGGCCAACAGAAAAAUAAUAAAUAAAUAAAAGUAUUAAGAGAAAAUAAAACUUUUUACAGGAUGAAGAAAAAGAAAAAGAUUAUGAAAUGAAAAUAUGUAUAUAUGUGAAAUAAUAAUAUGAUUUAGAUUUAUUUCAAAUUAUUUGCUAUAUAGUUUACUAUUAUUUAUUUAAUUUACUGUGGUUAAAUGAAUUUUGAUUUAAAUAUUUUAUUUAUAUAAAAAAAAAAGUUGAGCACCACUAAGCAAACUGCUUAGCGCGUAGGAAUUUAUUUUUCCUCGUGCAGGUUGUGGAUCCAAGUAGCAGCAGAUCAAGAUCUGCAUCAAGCCAGUCAGAGUUACAUCAUUAACUACAUUGGGGUAUAUUUUGUAAAUUUUAUAUAAAGUUACUUUUGGAAAAUAUGACAUGUACAUAAAGUUUUCGAGAUAAAGUCAAAUAUGGUUUGAAAUGGAUAUAGUUAAAUAUUUUAAUUUUGGUGUAAAUGUGGAUGAUUAGUAUAAGUCUCUGUGUUGAGAUUAAUGAGGUAGUUUAUGAAGUGUUUGAUCUGAAUUGAAAUUGUGUUUAUGUUGAAAGGAGUUUGGGGGUUAAGGUUUAAAUGGAUAGAAGUGUGAUAUUACUAUUCACAGGUGGAAUUAAGUCCAUAUUUUAGAGGAGACUCUGCCGAAUUUUCGGUUAAAAAAAAACCCCAUGAUUUACAUGUUAUAAAAUAAAAGGAAAUAUAAGAGAAUUGUUACAGAAUGUAAUAUCUCCGGCUCAGUUAAUUAAAUAACCGGGUAGGGGGUGUUACAUUUAGUGGUAUCAGAGCAGGUUUAGUCGACUCUAGGCAGUAUGUGGGUAAAUAGUUAGGUAUAGGAAUAUGUACAUGCCAUAUAUAUAAAAGAUAUGAUAUAACUCUGAUGCAGAUCUAUUUUAUGAAUAUUUGCAUACCUAUCACAAAUAAAAAAAGAACUACAAGCAGACAUACUAGAUCAGGAUAUAGUAGUAACUAAUCCUCUUGGCCACAGUGUAGUUGUCAGUAAAGUAUUUAAAGAUUGCCCAUCUUGAUUCACAAUCACAUUUUUCAUGGAGAUUUGAUUGAAUUACCUUUUUGGGAGUUUGAUGUGAUCCUAGGAAUGGAUUGGUUGUUUAGAUACCAAGUUAUAGUUGAUUGUAGAAAGAAGAGAAUCACGCUAAAGACACCGGAGGGUGAAGAAGUAGUAGUUGUGGGCGAGAGAUUAAAUUUUCUCUCCAAUAUUAUUUCUGCUACUGCAGCCAGAAGAAUGAUAAGAAAGGGUUGUGAGGCAUACUUAGCCUGUGUUUUGGAGGCUAGGAAGGAGAAACCUAUUGUGCAAGAUAUACCUUUUGUUUGUGACUUCUCUGACGUCUUUUCAGACGAAUUACCAGGAUUACCUCCAGAAAGAGAAGUAGAAUUUGCCAUAGACGUUGUACCAAGAACUACACCCAUAUCAAUUGCUCCUUAUAGGAUGGCUCCCACAGAAUUAAAAGAAUUAAAAGUGCAGCUACAAGAAUUACUUGAUAAGGGUUUCAUUCGCCCUAGUAUCUCUCCCUAGGGUGCACCAGUACUAUUUGUUAAGAAGAAUGAUGGUUCACUGAGAUUGUGCGUGGACUACAGACAACUCAAUAAGGUGACCAUCAAAAAUAAAUAUCCACUGCCCCGUAUAGAUGAUUUGUUUGAUUAGCUAAAGGGAGCGGGUGUCUUUUCUAAAAUUGACCUGAGAUCAGGUUAUUAUCAGCUCAGAGUAAAGGAUGCAGAUAUUCCAAAGACUGCGUUCAGAACCUGAUAUGGGCAUUAUGAAUUCCUUGUUAUGCCAUUCGGUUUGACUAAUGCUCCAGCUGCAUUUAUGGACUUGAUGAAUCGUAUCUUUCACCCUUUCCUGGACCAGUUUGUUGUUGUGUUCAUAGAUGACAUUCUUGUCUAUUCAAAGACAAAAGAAGAGCAUGAUAGGCACUUGAGGAUUGUGUUACAAACGCUGAGGGAGAAAUAGCUUUAUGCUAAAUUCAGCAAAUGUGAAUUUUGGCUGAAUGAAAUAUCUUUUCUGGGACAUGUAGUAUCUGCAGAAGGCAUAAGGGUCGAUCCCAAAAAGAUAGAGACUAUCCUUGCAUGGAAGCCACCCAAGAACAUUACUGAAGUCAGAAGCUUUUUGGGGUUAGCUGGUUAUUACAGAAGGUUUGUAAAAGGAUUCUCUCAAAUAGCUGCUCCACUGACAAGGUUGUUGCAGAAAAAUGUCAAGUUCGAAUGGAAUGACAAGUGUCAGGCCAGUUUUGAUAGAUUAAAGGCUAUGCCCACAGAGGCACCUGUCCUUACACAACUAGUGUCGGGUAUUAACUUUGUGAUUUAUAGUAAUGCCUCUCACAAUGGACUUGGUUGCGUGUUGAUGCAAGAUAGAAAGGUUGUUGCUUAUGCUUCCAGGCAAUUAAAGUCACAUGAAAGAAACUAUCCCACCCAUGAUUUAGAAUUAGCAGCCAUAGUCUUUACAUUAAAGAUCUGGAGGCAUUACUUAUAUGGUGAAAAGUGUUAUGUUUAUACGGAUUUUGAGAAAAGGGUGGGUAGUAAGGUGGCUGAACAAAUCCCGAGGCCUGGGUGCCUCCUAGGGAUUCUCCCAUACCUUCUUCUGACAUGCUAACUCCCAGACUGCCAUCCCUCCUCUGGUCCACAUCCAUCUCAUCCCCCAUGUCCUCUGACAUUCCUCCCUGAAUUGUUCCCCUCACUGAUCUGCUCCUACCUAGAUCCAAAGACCUUCUAGGGUCUCUUACUGCUCUUUCUCUGCUGGACCUACUAGACAUUGCCCUAAGCAAUGCUGGAGGACGGGCGCUCGUGCCCUCAUCCUCAGGUGGUACUCCAGUCAAUCGUGCAGAUCGAUGAGUUCCUCUCAUCCUGUUUUCUGAAAAACAGUACACAUCACAUAAACAUUAGCAUCAUAUGGUUCAUGUGGGCACACAUGAACCCGCAUCACAUACAUCACAUAUCAUUAAUGCACAUGCAUAUAAUCAUGGCAUUUCAUAUCAUCAUGCAAGACAGGACUCUACAUCCUAUCCUAGUGGACAUGAUCUUCCUAUUGUGCUUGACCUUCUAUAACGUCUAUGAGCCCGACACUCUAGGUCCGACCAUAUGAACCUAGGGCUCUGAUACCAUUCUGUAACGACCCAAAAAUCGGACCGCUAUCGGCGCUAGGAUCCAGGUCGGCUUAAGGCCGCCGAGACUCGUAGCAAGGCUGACAUGCAAUCUGUAAACCUGUUUAAUCCCAUACAUGAUCAAGAAUAUACAUAAAAAUUUGAACUUUUCUUUUACCAAGCUCAACCUGUGCAUGCUCAUAACACACAUAAAAACUAAAAGUGCUCAACUAACAUAAACAUACAUUUCUACCCCAAGAAUCAACUUAAAACUUGUUUAAAACAUAUAGUGAGCUCAAGAUCGGCCCUUACCUCUUGAAGAUCGGGAGGAAAACGACCCUAGCUCGGAGAUGGGAGAGAUUGAGUUUCUUGAACCUCAAAGCUCCAAAACUUGCUUUAUGCUCAAAAAUCUUCAAAACAAGGUUGCAAACUCAUAAAAAUCAUGAAGAAUGGAAGGAAGAAACUCAAGAUCGGUGAAGAACGACGGAGAGCUCACCUUGGCCGAAAAUGGGGAGAAAAGCUCACCCGUUUCAGCUAAGGGACCCUUUUAUAGGUGGCUGGCCAAGCCACAUUCGGGGGCCGAACGUGCCUCCGCAUGCAUGCCAUGUUCGGCGGCCGAACCUAGACUUCCCUCACUUAUGCUUUCGGGGGCCUAAAGCACACCCAAAGUACAUGCAUGUUCGGCGGCCGAACUUGAGGUUCGGCGGCCGAACCUGGGUCUUCCUCCAAGAUUAUUUUCAUGCAAAAACUCAUUUCCUUUUUACUUAAAACCAUGAAAUACAUUAAAACAUUUUAUGAAAACAUGAUUCUACCCUACUAGAGGCUUCCGACAUCCGAGAUUUCACCGGACGGUAGGAAUUCCGAUACCGGAGUCUAGUUGGGUAUUACAUUCUCUCCCCCUUAAGAACAUUCAUCCCCGAAUGUUCCUCAACUAGCACAAGCAUAGCAAUCAAUAUAACAUACAUACAUAGCAUAUAAACACAUAGAGAUCUAACCUUAAAAGAGAUGAGGGUACUGCUGGAGCAUAGACUCCCGUGUCUCCCAGGUGCAUUCUUCCAUAUUGUGGUGGUUCCACAGAACUUUCACCAUCGGGAUUUCCUUGUUUCUCAACUUCCUGAUCUGGGUGUCUAUGAUCCGUACUGGCUGCUCAACAUAAGUGAGAUCUUCUUGAAUCUCCACAUCAGGUUCACUAAGAACCUUACCCGGAUCUGACACAAACUUCCUCAACAUGGAAACAUGGAAAACCAGAUGGAUUCUUUCCAUUGAAGCAGGUAAAUCCAGCUUGUACGACACAUUCCCAAUCUUCUGCAAGAUUUCAAAGGGUUCAAUGUAUCGUGGGGCUAGUUUACCUUUCUUCCCAAAGCGAACCACUCCUUUCAUAGGAGACACCUUGAGCAAUACCAGAUCUCCCUCCUGAAACUCUACUUGUCUCCUGCGGAUGUCUGCAUAACUCUUCUGUCUGCUUGCAGCAGUCUUGAUUCUUUCUCUAAUUAUGGGUACCACCCUGCUGGUGAUCUCUACUAACUCAGGCCCUGCCAAGGCCUUUUCUCCAACCUUUUCCCAGCAAACAGGCGAUCUGCACUUCCUCCCAUACAAAGCUUCAUAUGGAGCCAUCCCGAUGCUAGCAUGAUGGCUAUUAUUGUAGGCAAACUCCACCAAGGGUAGAUGCUGCCUCCAAGAACCGCCAAAAUCCAGCACACACAUUCUUAGCAUAUCCUCUAUCGUCUGGAUGGUCCUCUCUGAUUGUCCGUCCGUCUGUGGAUGGAAAGCAGUGCUAAAAUCCAACCUGGUACCCAUGGCAUUCUGCAGACUCCGCCAAAACCUGGAGGUGAACUGGGGCCCUCUAUCUGACACUAUCGAAAUAGGAACCCCAUGCAGCCUGACGAUCUCAUCGACAUACACCUGCGCCAACUUGUCCACAGAAUAGCCACUCCUGACAGGGAUGAAGUGAGCAGAUUUGGUGAGUCUGUCCACAAUCACCCAUAUGGAGUCCAAUCUGUUGGACGCCGCCGGUAACCCCACUACGAAGUCCAUAGCUAUAUUCUCCCAUUUCCACUCUGGAAUAGGUAGCGGGUUAAGCAUUCCAGCCGGCUUCUGAUGUUCCAGCUUCACCCUUUGACACACUUCGCAGGCUGACACAAACUGUGCCACUUCUCUCUUCAUAGCUGGCCACCAAUAAACCUGCUUCAGAUCUUGAUACAUCUUGGUGGCUCCUGGGUGAACGCUGUAUCUUGCAUUAUGAGCCUCUCUCAUAAUGUCUCCUUUUAGCCCUAUGUCGUCUGGUACACACAAUCGGCUCCCAUAGCGGAGGAUCCCCUUAUUGUCGAAUCUGAACUCACUAUCUUUGCCUGACUGAACAGUCCUGGCAAUCUUCACUAACUCUGGGUCCUCAUGCUGUUUCUGAGCCACCUGCUCCAGAAACACGGGUGUCACUCUCAUCUGGGCUACUAAAGCACCUGUACUAGACAACUCCAUCUGUAGACCUUCAUCAAUGAGUUUGUAAAACUCCUUCACCACCGGCCUCCUUUCAGCCGUGAUGUGGGAUAGACUGCCUAGUGACUUCCGACUUAGGGCGUCUGCCACAACAUUCGCCUUACCCGGAUGGUAUUGAAUCUUGCAAUCAUAGUUACUCAGCAGCUCCACCCAUCUUCUCUGUCUCAAGUUCAAAUCUCUUUGACUCAGGAUGUACUGCAGGCUCUUAUGAUCUGUAAAGAUCUCACAUUUAACCCCAUAGAGGUAGUGCCUCCACAUCUUAAGUGCAAAGAUUACUGCUGCCAUCUCCAGGUCAUGUGUGGGGUAAUUCAACUCAUGCUUCUUCAGCUGUCUAGAAGCAUAAGCAAUCACCCUUUCAUUCUGCAUUAACACACAACCCAAUCCCACUCGGGAUGCAUCACAGAAAACUGUGAAAUCCUCAUUGCUAGCUGGCAAAGCUAACACUGGUGCUGACGUCAACCUCUUCUUAAGCUUUUCAAAACUCUCUUCGCACUGGUCGGUCCACACAAACUUCUGAUUCUUCCUGGUCAAUCUGGUCAGAGGAGCUGCAAUCUUGGAGAAGUCCUGAACGAACCUCCUGUAGUAACCUGCCAAACCCAAGAAACUCCUGAUCUCUGUCACUGAAGUGGGUCUAGGCCAGUUAGCCACAGCUUCUACCUUCUUGGGGUCCACCUCUAUUCCAUUUUCCGACACCACAUGCCCCAAGAAUGAAAUGCUCCUUAGCCAGAACUCACACUUGGAGAACUUGGCAUACAAGCCAUGUUCCCUCAAGGUCUGCAGAACCAACCUCAGAUGAUGGGCAUGCUCCUCUGCAUUCCUGGAAUACACUAAGAUAUCAUCUAUGAAGACAAUCACAAAGUGAUCCAGGUACUGGCUAAACACUCUAUUCAUGAGAUCCAUGAAUGCUGCAGGGGCGUUGGUUAAUCCGAACGGCAUUACAAGGAACUCAAAAUGCCCAUAUCUGGUCCUGAAAGCUGUCUUUGGCACAUCCUCCUCUCUGAUCCACAGUUGAUGAUACCCGGACCUCAGAUCUAUUUUGGAGAAGCAACCCGCUCCUGCUAGCUGGUCGAAUAGAUCAUCGAUCCUUGGCAAUGGGUACUUGUUCUUGGUAGUGACUUUGUUCAACUGCCUGUAGUCGAUACAAAGUCUAAGGGAUCCAUCCUUCUUUUUCACAAACAAGACUGGAGCACCCCAAGGUGAGGUACUCGGUCGGAUGAAGCCCUUUUCUACCAGCUCUUGCAACUGUUCUUUCAAUUCCUUCAAUUCUGCUGGUGCCAUCCUGUAGGGAGGGAUAGAGAUCGGUCGGGUUCCAGGCAUCAAUUCUAUCUCGAACUCUAUCUCCCUAGCAGGUGGUAAACCUGGCAGCUCGUCUGGGAAGACAUCUAAGAACUCUCUGACCACUGGCAUCGAGGCGGGCUCUCUAACCUGACUGCUAAGCUCUCUCACAUGAGCCAAAUACCCCUGACAUCCCCUCCUAAGCAACCUACGAGCCUGAAGAGCUGAUAUCAGACCUCUAGGCAUACCCCUCCUGUCUCCCCUGAAGACGACCUCUGACCCAUCCUGACCUCUGAACCUGACUACCUUGUCCCUGCAGUCCAAGGUAGCACCAUGGGUAGAUAACCAGUCCAUCCCUAGAAUGACGUCAAAAUUUGUCAAAUCUAGAACCACAAGGUCGGCGGAAAGGCAUCUUCCCUCAACAAAGACUGGACUGUACUGGCAGACUGACUCUACCACUGAUGGAUCACACUUGGGUCCACUGACCCAGAGAGGACACUCUAACCCAGAGAUCAUCAACCCCAACCUCUCUACGGCUCUCGGAGCAACAAAAGAAUGAGAUGCACCAGGGUCCAUCAAGGCAUAGACAUCUGAACAACCAAUGACUAAGUUACCUGCCACCACGGUGUUAGAUGCAUCUGCCUCCUGUUGAGUCACCGUGAAGAUCCGUGCUGGAGCUGAUGGACCUUCACCUCUGAAACCCGCUGAAGAAGAGGCUGACCCUCUCUCUCUGCCUCUGCCACUGGCCUGAGUUGUGGCUGGAGCUGCUGGCUGCGCCACACUACUUGAAACCGUCUGCUGGGACUGAGCCAUAAGUACUGUCCUAGGACACUCCCGAGCCAUAUGUCCCUCUUGCCCACAUCUGAAGCAGGCUGUUGUCCCAGCCCGGCAAACUCCCUUGUGUGGCCUACCACACUUUGCACAAACUGCAUUAUCCGCACCAGAGCUUGAGCCACUCCCUAGUCCCAGACUGGACUUGAUCUUGUUCCAGAACUUGUUCUUCUUGGGCUUCCUAGUGGUGUUACUCCACCUUUUGCUACCUGAAGCUGCUGCACUCAGAGAAGAAGAAGAGCCUGGGAUCUUAGAACCAGAGGGCUGUGCCACUGACUGUUUAACUGUCCCCUGAAUGAUGGCACUAACCUCCAUUUUCCGGGCCAUAUCUACUAUGACAUGGAAACUCUCCCUAUCUGCUGACUGGAUCAAGGAGGAAUAUCUGGAGUGGAGUUUCAUGAUAUACCUCCUUGACUUUUUCUAGUCUGAGUCAAGAUUUUGCCCUGCAAAUGGCAACAGCUCCAAGAAUCUGUCUGUGAACUCAUCCACACUCAUAUCAUCAGUCUGCCUCAACUGUUCAAACUCUAUCAUCUUUAAUUCCCUUGAGCUAUCAGGGAAAGCCCAUCCUGCAAACUUGUUUGCAAACUCUUCCCAAGACAUGUUGUCCACCCUCGGGUUCACAUAAUUCUUAAACCACUCUCGUGCCUUCUUGCACUUGAGUGUGAACCCAGCCAUCUGAAUGGCUCUGCUGUCAUCCGCCCCAAUCUCAUCUGUGAUCACCUUGACCCUUUCAAGAUACACAAACGGGUCAUCCCCUUUUUCAUACUGAGGAGCACCCAGCUUCAUAUAGUCGGUCAUCUUGACCUUGCUCCCACCAGAUGAGCUAGGCUUAGGUACUGGGGUUUCUGGAACUGUGGGUUCUGCUGGUGAAGGAGGAGGUGCAGCAUCCCCUGGGGUAGGGUUUGCUGGAUUUGGAUAGUAGGGCGGAGGUGGGUACAUGGGGUACUGUGGGUAUGAUGGGUAGUAAGAUGGGUAUGGCAUGUGAGAAGGGAAUGUGCCUCCCAUCGAAUACUCGGGAUUUUGAGAAAAGGGUGGGUAGUAAGGUGGCUGAAUAAAUCCCGAGGCCUGGGUGCCUCCUAGGGAUUCUCCCAUACCUUCUUCUGACAUGCUAACUCCCAGACUGCCAUCCCUCCUCUGCUCCACAUCCAUCUCAUCCCCCAUGUCCUCUGACAUUCCUCCCUGAACUGUUCCCCUCACUGAUCUGCUCCUACCCAGAUCCAAAGACCUUCUAGGGUCUCUUACUGCUCUUUCUCUGCUAGACCUACUGGACAUUGCCCUAGGCAAUGCUGGAGGACGGGCGCUCGUGCCCUCAUCCUCAGGUGGUACUCCAGUCAAUCGUGCAGAUCGACGAGUUCCUCUCAUCCUGUUUUCUGAAAAACAUUACACAUCACAUAAACAUUAGCAUCAUAUGGUUCAUGUGGGCACACAUGAACCCGCAUCACAUAUAUCACAUAUCAUUAAUGCACAUGCAUAUAAUCAUGGCAUUUCACAUCAUCAUGCAAGACAGGACUCCACAUCCUAUCCUAGUGGACAUGAUCUUCCUAUUGUGCUUGACCUUCUAUAACGUCUAUGAGCCCGACACUCUAGGUCCGACCAUAUGAACCUAGGGCUCUGAUACCAUUCUGUAACGACCCGAAAAUCGGACCGCUACCGGCGCUAGGAUCCAGGUCGGCUUAAGGCCGCCGAGACCCGUAGCAAGGCUGACAUGCAACCUGUAAACCUGUUUAAUCCCAUACAUGAUCAAGAAUAUACAUAAAAAUUUGAACUUUUCUUUUACCAAGCUCAACCUGUGCAUGCUCAUAACACACAUAAAACCUAAAAGUGCUCAACUAACAUAAACAUACAUUUCUACCCCAAGAAUCAACUUAAAACUUGUUUAAAACAUAUAGUGAGCUCAAGAUCGGCCCUUACCUCUUGAAGAUCGGGAGGGAAACGACCCUAGCUCGGAGAUGGGAGAGAUUGAGUUUCUUGAACCUCAAAGCUCCAAAACUUGCUUUAUGCUCAAAAAUCUUCAAAACAAGGUUGCAAACUCAUAAAAAUCAUGAAGAAUGGAAGGAAGAAACUCAAGAUCGGUGAGGAACGACGGAGAGCUCACCUUGGCCGAAAAUGGGGAGAAAAGCUCACCCGUUUCAGCUAAGGGACCCUUUUAUAGGUGGCUGGCCAGGCCACAUUCGGGGGCCGAACGUGCCUCCGCAUGCAUGCCAUGUUCGGCAGCCGAACCUGGACUUCCCUCACUUAUGCUUUCGGGGGCCCAAAGCACACCCAAAGUGCAUGCAUGUUCGGCGGCCGAACCUGGGUCUUCCUCCAAGAUUAUUUUCAUGCAAAAACUCAUUUCUUUUUUACUUAAAACCAUGAAAUACAUUAAAACAUUUUAUAAAAACAUGAUUCUACCCUACUAGAGGCUUCCGACAUCCGAGAUUCCACCGGACGGUAGGAAUUUCGAUACCGGAGUCUAGCCGGGUAUUACACCUGAGGAGCUCCUUCGCGGGCCGGGCACAGUUAGAGGGAAUUUUGAAUCUGUCCGUCUGAGAUGGGUGAUUUACUUGUGAUGUGAUGCAUUCCAUGUGAGCAUGUUUUAUUUACAUGUUUUAUCUGUUCUACUCACUGGGCUAGUAUAGCUCAUCCCUCUCCUUUAACCCCAGUCUUGCAGGAUCAAAGUCAGAGGGAAGUCAGCAGGGCACAGGAAGAGUAAAAAGUUGUAAUAGCAUAGUGUGGACAUGUACUAUUGUGAAGAGAUGUAUUAGUAUUGUGCUUGACCUAGUUGUAUUGUAAAUUCCCUUUUGUAUACAUGGUCUGUUUAUGUAAAUAUGUUAUUGAAAUGUUUUAUGAGUAUGAUCACCAGGUUUAACAUUGUAUGAGUUUUAACCCGUCUAGAGCAAGCUCUAGUAAGGGAUUCUGUAGUAUAGAGAUAGUGCAUGCACAGGUUGAGCCUUGGUACAGAGCAAAGUUUUAU
rnacentral:lncRNA from 1 species